rnacentral:rRNA from 1 species
UACGUAGGGUGCGAGCGUUAAUCGGAAUUACUGGGCGUAAAGCGUGCGCAGGCGGUUUUGUAAGCCAGAUGUGAAAGCCCCGGGCUCAACCUGGGAAUGGCAUUUGGGACUGCAAGGCUUGAGUGCGGCAGAGGAGACUGGAAUUCCUGGUGUAGCAGUGAAAUGCGUAGAUAUCAGAAGGAACGCCGGUGGCGAAAGCGCCCUGCUGGAUCUCUACUGACGCUGAGGCGCGAAAGCCAGGGGAGCGAACGGG